GACGAACGCUGGCGGCGUGCUUAACACAUGCAAGUCGAACGGAAAGGCCCUGCUUUUGUGGGGUGCUCGAGUGGCGAACGGGUGAGUAACACGUGAGUAGCCUGCCCUUGACUUUGGGAUAACUUCAGGAAACUGGGGCUAAUACCGGAUAGGAGCUCCUGCUGCAUGGUGGGGGUUGGAAAGUUUCGGCGGUUGGGGAUGGACUCGCGGCUUAUCAGCUUGUUGGUGGGGUAGUGGCUUACCAAGGCUUUGACGGGUAGCCGGCCUGAGAGGGUGACCGGCCACAUUGGGACUGAGAUACGGCCCAGACUCCUACGGGAGGCAGCAGUGGGGAAUAUUGCACAAUGGGCGGAAGCCUGAUGCAGCAACGCCGCGUGCGGGAUGACGGCCUUCGGGCUGUAAACCGCUUUCGCCUGUGACGAAGCGUGAGUGACGGUAAUGGGUAAAGAAGCACCGGCUAACUACGUG
rnacentral:rRNA from 1 species